rnacentral:rRNA from 1 species
CAAUAGCGUAUAUUAAAGUUGUUGCAGUUAAAAAGCUCGUAGUUGGAUUUGUGGCGUACGGUGUGUUCCGGGCACUUGUUGUCUGAGUAACCUGCUGUUGCCGUCCUUGGGUGGAACCUGUGUGGCAUUAGGUUGUCGUGCAGGGGAUGCCCAUCAUUUACUGUGAAAAAAUUAGAGUGUUCAAAGCAGGCUUAUGCCGUUGAAUAUAUUAGCAUGGAAUAAUGAGAUAGGACUUUUUUGCUAUUUUGUUGGUUUGCGCAAAGAGGUAAUGAUUAAUAGGGACAGUUGGGGGUAUUCGUAUUCCAUUGUCAGAGGUGAAAUUCUUGGAUUUUUGGAAGACGAACUACUGCGAAAGCAUUUACCAAGGAUGUUUUCAUUAA